UGCAACUAAAAAUGCAAAACACAGAAUUAGGUUCAAAACUGUGCUAUGCAUUUUUUUCAUUAUUUAGAAUAUAUCACAAAAAGGUAAUUAAGCUUUUUAGUAUAGAAAUACUUUUUUUGCACACCAUCCAGGAUUUGAGAGAGGAUUAAAUCUUUCAAUUUGGUCUUGGCUUUUCCUUUUAAAUGUUUAUAUUAAAAAGGAAAAACAUUCACAUUAAAGAAGAUUUAGAAAAUAUGAAAAGGGGAAAAUCUACAUGUUAACAUUAUUGGGAAGAAAACAUAGAUUUACAGGAGUUGAGAGCUUGCUGAGAUCUUAGGGAUCAUUUAAGCCAAUGCCUUGUCUUAUAGCAGAGAAAACAUAAACAGAGCACCUAGGCAAUUUGCCUACUUACUCUCUUCCCUUAGUUAAAAAGGCAAAUCAAGCAUGGCACAGUGUACACUUGUAGUUCCAGCUACAAGGGAGGCUGAGUGGGAGCAUCCCUUGAGCCCAGGAGAGCAGCCUGGGCAACAUAGCAAGACCCCCAUCUCUAAAGAAAAAAGACAAAACUGCUUCCUUCAAGCUUCCUGAAAAUGUUUGAAUUUAUUGUCAAUGUCAAAUGAAAGUCAGAACACACCUGUAUUUUUUGUAUUGCACUAUAUGUCCUCCGGUAUCCCUAAAAAGGGAAAUUUUUAGUACUUUCUAGAAAAAAAUUUUUCAGCCAUUGUCCUCAGAAAAGUACUUUUUAGUACUUUUACAUCAGUUGAUUCUUUCAGGAUUUAAAAGCAGUACACCAGGCUGGGUGUGGUGGCUCAUGCCUGUAAUCCCAGCACUUUGGGAGGCCAAGGCGGAUGGAUCACCUGAGGUCAGGAGUCGAGACCAGCCUGCCAACAUGGCGAAACCCUGUCUCUACUAAAAAUAUAGAAAUUAGUUGGGCAUACUGGCACGUGCCUGUAAUCCCAGCUACUGGGGAAGCUGAGGCAGGAGACUCACUUGAACCGGGGAGGCAGAGGUUGCAGUGAACCAAGAUCACACCACUGCACUCUAGCCUGAGCGACAGAGUGAUACUCGGUCUCAAAAAAAAGCAAUACACCAAAGAGUGGAGUUUCCCUAUUUUUUCAAGUAGAAAUAUUUCCAUCAAAACCUUUUGCUCUUGAAUACAAACUAAUACUGAGAUAAGGAAUAAUUCUGGCGUGGGGGUGGAGGAGUCUGUUUCUGGCCUGUUUAGCUACCUGGGUCACAUAUCAUGGAGAAUAAAAUUAAAACAUUAUUAAUUUUGUAACUGUGAUCUACAUUAGGGCCCUGGAGUUUAUGCUGUAUUUGUUCCUCAUGGAACUUUUUCACCCUUUUCCCUCCUCCCAGCCUCACACACAACACCCUGGUACCAUUCAGCAUGCUGGGCAGUGGAAGCUGCAAAGGGAAAGACUAAGGCAAGAUAAUGUAUAGCUUAAGGAGUACCUAGGUAGAUCCGAGGUUACCCAGGAUCAGUUGUGGUUCCAACUACAGUUCAUUCUAAAUUAUUACAGCUUUUGGCUUAUCACAAGAUGCUUAAUGUAAGGCCAUUUUAUACCAAUCGGGAUUCUUCACAGGCUCCCAGUGUGCAGUUUGGAUGCUGUUCUCUGGUUAAAUGUAUUCAGCUGAUACCACCAAAAGCACUCAUCACUGUAUUUGCCCUAGCCAACUCUGACAAAGGAUCAGGGAGGAAAACAGCUCCUUUUUUGGACAAACCUGGAGUGUUGGUUUUAAUACUGAUGGUGUAGAUGAUGACACAGAACUGCCUGGGGAAAAUCUGAUUUCCAAAGCCAAAGAAGUCUGCUCAGCUGGACUCAUCAUACUCAUGUACCUUGUUGAGACCUGUGCUCAUGCAGGCCGGAAACCCUGGCCCCUGUGUGGCAUCAGGAAGCAGCAGGACAAGGGCACCUUUAGGAUUCAGGGAGAGGGGGCUUUAGGAGACAGAUGUCCCUGGGGCCCUGGUUGAUAGACCCUAUGACCUGUCUCCUAGUGCUGGAAUGAGAAUGCUGAAGCUGAAAGCCACAACUGCCAUCCUCAAAUGUUCAAUGAGUGCAGCCCCCGCACUGCUUCUUCCUGUGUUUCUGUCAACAGGAAAUCUGCAGGACAAUCUCUGGGAAACCAUGGGAAGCUUUUUACAUUUAUGAAACCUGGGUUAUUUCUGAGGCUUCACCAACAGACAAGCGAACAGGAAAUCACUAGGGAUAUUUAGUGCAGAACUGGGAAUGUCCAGAUCACAAGGAAGCCAGAUGGGUCACCUCCCAUAUGUCAGGUGUCAUUCCUGCCCCUCCGUCCCAGCAAGACCCACUUCGAAUGCUAAUGCUGCAGGAGGAAGAGGCAGUGGAGAAGCAGAAACCUUCAUUUUGGGACAAGCCAAGAGGUUAGGGAACAAACAAAACACAAGUGGUAGAGACAGAAUUUCCAUCUGGAAACUGAAGGGUUUAGUGAGCAACUGGAGGGUUCGUUUCAUUUUUAAGAUACCUUCCUCAGACAGUAGAAAUUCAAGAUUUUGCAAACCUUAAUUAUGCUCUGAAAUGUUUUUGAUUACAGGCUCAUUAGAAGACAUUCAAAAAUAUAAAAAAUCAUAAAGUUACCCCAAAAUCCCACCCAAAAGAGAUAUCCACUGUUAGUAUUUUGAUAUAUAUCCUUGCAGCCAUUUAUUUCACAAAUGUAAAAAAAAAAGUUUUAUGA